GAUGAACGCUAGCGGGAGGCUUAACACAUGCAAGUCGAGGGCAUUUCUGAUCCCGAGUAAUCGGGAUUCGGGAACGACCGGCGCACGGGUGAGUAACGCGUAUGCAACCUGCCCUGUACUGGAGGAUAGCUCUCGGAAACGGGAAUUAAUACUCCAUGAUGAUAUACUGGGGGCAUCCCGGUAUAUUUAAAACUCCGGUGGUACGGGAUGGGCAUGCGUAACAUUAGCUAGUUGGUAAGGUAACGGCCUACCAAGGCUACGAUGUUUAGGGGGCCUGAGAGGGUGAUCCCCCACACUGGUACUGAGACACGGGCCAGACUCCUACGGGAGGCAGCAGUGAGGAAUAUUGGUCAAUGGGCGCAAGCCUGAACCAGCCAUCCCGCGUGCAGGAAGAAGGCGUUAUGCGUUGUAAACUGCUUUUGCAGGGGACGAAAAACCCCGACGUGUCGGGGCUUGACUGUACCUUGUGAAUAAGCAUCGGCUAACUCCGUG
rnacentral:rRNA from 1 species